GGCCUCUUGGUCUAGAGGUAUGAUUCUCGCUUUGGGUUCCGGUUGAUCGGGAUAUGCGAGAGGCCCCGGGUUCGAAUCCCGGAGAGGCCC